ACGCUCGACACCUACGGGAGGAGCAGUGGGGAAUAUUGCACAAUGGGGGAAACCCUGAUGCAGCGACGCCGCGUGAAGGAAGAAGUAUCUCGGUAUGUAAACUUCUAUCAGCAGGGAAGAAAGUGACGGUACCUGACUAAGAAGCCCCGGCUAACUACGUGCCAGCAGCCGCGGUAAUCUGAGCGGGCUGGCAAGGC
rnacentral:rRNA from 1 species